CUCGGGGUUACAGGAUUGGUUUUGAGUCGACAAAACCAAACCGAUGCAAUCAGGCUUUAUUGGUACCAUGAUGCAGCUCAUCAACUUUCUCUGUCAACUCAGGCUUUGAUCCUUAAGCAAUGAUUACUCCACACGCGCGUGCACAUAAAAGAGUGACGUCGACACUGAGCAACCAAUCGCGUUCGAUAUGGAUAGAGCGAGAGCUAUAUAUUUUUCCGCGCAGGAGCAAGAGAUUAUUAUUAUUAUUAUUCAGAAAUAUGAAGAAUAUAGGAGUGUUUUUCAAGCAGGCAGUAACACUGUAUCUGCUGCCAAAGCAAGAGAACAAUCUUGGAGGAAGAUUGCUGAUUGCGUUAAUGCGUAGGCUAAGUUAAACAAUUAAUGUAAAUUUAUGUAGGAUAAUCAUAUUAAAAAUGUAUUAAAUGCUAAAAUUAAAAUGUGUAUUCGUGCUGAUGUAUAUGUGUGUGUGUGUGUGUGUGUGUGUGUGUGUGUGUGUGUGUGUGUGUAGAUGUAUGUAAAGUGUGAAUGUAUAGGCUAUUACAUCCUAAGAAAGAUUGAUCUUCAUUGAUUUUUAGAUGCAACCCCAACUCCAAACGUUCUUGGCAGCAGAUCAAAACAAAAUAUAAAACUAUAAUUCAAAGUGGUGAGUAUUUACCAAAGCCUUUCGUUACUUUUGUGAACAUUUAAUCACAAACACUUGUUUGCAGCAAACAGAAAAAAGUGUGAUAAGGAAAACUGGGGAGGGCCACCUCCUCCAGAAUACACUGUGGCGGAGGAGUUGGCACUGAGUAACAACAAGGGGCGGCCGAUUAUGGAUGGGAUUGCAAGUGCUGUACAGUCUGACCCUGGUGCUGGCUCCUCUAAGCAAGUGACACUGGUAGAGGGAAAUACAGUGUCCCUGUUGAAGCCAGCACACAUGCACAUGUGCAUGUCUCCUGCACAGAGGGUGAACCAAAUGAUGAAGACACUCUGUCUGUGUCUUCAGAGACAGUUGCUGAGGAUUUUUCACAACCUGCCCCAGAAACUGAAGCCUCUACCUCAAUCGGCUUCAGAAGGAAUGUGAACAAGGUGGAAACAGACUCAGUCAGGGCCCUUUACAAAAGGAGUCUAGAACUAGACUGUUCACUGAAGGAGCUGGACUAUGAGCUGAGGAGGCUCCAAAUUAAAAAAUUAAAUUGGAGAUCAAACAGCUGGAAAAAACAGAUCUCACCACAUGACCAAUAAAACAGUUUGAG